AAUGCACAUGCUGUGAGCUCGAUGAGUAGGGCGGGACACGUGGUAUCCUGUCUGAAUAUGGGGGGACCAUCCUCCAAGGCUAAAUACUCCUGACUGACCGAUAGUGAACCAGUACCGUGAGGGAAAGGCGAAAAGAACCCCGGCGAGGGGAGUGAAAAAGAACCUGAAACCGUGUACGUACAAGCAGUGGGAGCCUCUUUUAUGGGGUGACUGCGUACCUUUUGUAUAAUGGGUCAGCGACUUAUAUUCUGUAGCAAGGUUAACCGAAUAGGGGAGCCGAAGGGAAACCGAGUCUUAACUGGGCGUUAAGUUGCAGGGUAUAGACCCGAAACCCGGUGAUCUAGCCAUGGGCAGGUUGAAGGUUGGGUAACACUAACUGGAGGACCGAACCGACUAAUGUUGAAAAAUUAGCGGAUGACUUGUGGCUGGGGGUGAAAGGCCAAUCAAACCGGGAGAUAGCUGGUUCUCCCCGAAAGCUAUUUAGGUAGCGCCUCGUGAAUUCAUCUCCGGGGGUAGAGCACUGUUUCGGCAAGGGGGUCAUCCCGACUUACCAACCCGAUGCAAACUGCGAAUACCGGAGAAUGUUAUCACGGGAGACACACGGCGGGUGCUAACGUCCGUCGUGAAGAGGGAAACAACCCAGACCGCC
rnacentral:rRNA from 1 species